AAAUCACAACAACCGGAGCCGUCAUCGAAUCUCCGCCAGGUUGCAACGAACUCCCUGAUUUCGCGUCCGCUACAAGCUCAUGUCCUCGCGGCUAUAAAGACCAAGGCCCCCUCCUUGAUGCCCUCAGAAAACCAUCGGAGCAACCAUCUACCGGUGCGCCAUUGGUGACCGAGAGCUGAGAGGGAGAGGGAGAAAAUCCGAGUGUCACUACCUGCUUACGAAGCUGCAUAGCCUCGGCUUGUUGCUUGGGGGGACUCGCCUGGGAACGUUGGACAUAUGGGCAUCGGUUCGGGAGCCAGGGUGACCGGUGUCGCGGGUUAUGGAUCUCGCCGGGCUAGGAGUCGCUGGACGUUGGCGCCGAGAGGCAUUGC
rnacentral:lncRNA from 7 species